GUCUCAACAAUUUAUUGUCUCUCGGUUUUACCCUUUUGAUAAUUUUUUUUGUAUUUCGUUUUCUUUUCUUCUAAAUCAUAAAUAACACCGGGGCGUGGAAUACAAAAUAUACAAAA
rnacentral:ribozyme from 17 species